UACGUAGGGGGCAAGCGUUGUCCGGAAUCAUUGGGCGUAAAGAGCGCGUAGGCGGUCUGUUGCGUCCGCUGUGAAAUCUCGGGGCUUAACCCCGAGCCUGCAGUGGAUACGGGCAGACUAGAGGUAGGUAGGGGAGAAUGGAAUUCCCGGUGUAGCGGUGAAAUGCGCAGAUAUCGGGAGGAACACCGGUGGCGAAGGCGGUUCUCUGGGCCUUACCUGACGCUGAGGAGCGAAAGCGUGGGGAGCGAACAGG
rnacentral:rRNA from 1 species